rnacentral:tRNA from 1 species
CUUUUUGUGGUGUGGUGGUAACGCGCCUGUCUAGUGAACAGGAAUCGUGAGUUCGAGUCUCACCGAGAGGG